rnacentral:rRNA from 1 species
AAUCAACGCUGGCGGCGCGCUUAACACAUGCAAGUCGAACGCGAAAGCCUGACUUCGGUUGGGCAAGUAGAGUGGCGAACGGGUGAGUAACACGUGGAUAACCUGCCCUGCGGUGGGGAAUAACCCCGGGAAACUGGGGCUAAUACCGCAUACGAUCCAUUUGACUUAAGUUGGAUGGAUGAAAGCCUUCGGGCGCAGCAGGAGGGGUCCGCGGCCGAUUAGCUAGUUGGCGGGGUAAAAGCCCACCAAGGCACAGAUCGGUAGCCGGCCUGAGAGGGCGCACGGCCACACUGGCACUGAGACACGGGCCAGACUCCUACGGGAGGCAGCAGUGGGGAAUCUUGGACAAUGGGCGAAAGCCUGAUCCAGCGACGCCGCGUGACUGAUGAAGCCCCUCGGGGU